AGUAAUGCAUAGGAAUCUACCCAGUAGCGGGGGACAACCUGGUGAAAACCAGGCUAAUACCGCAUACGCCCUACGGGGGAAAGCAGGGGAUCUUCGGACCUUGCACUAUUGGAUGAGCCUAUGUCAGAUUAGCUUGUUGGUGGGGUAAUGGCCCACCAAGGCGACGAUCUGUAGCUGGUUUGAGAGGAUGAUCAGCCACACUGGGACUGAGACACGGCCCAG
rnacentral:rRNA from 1 species